GAUACUCGUCUUUAACCCGUCCGCUGCGAUUGAUACGGAUUUGGCCUUCACUGGUAGCCUGGUAACGUAUACUCCCAGGUCUUUCUCUGCCUCUGUGGUGGAUAGUGGAGUGUUUCCCAUGUGGUAUUGGUGUGCUGGAUAUCCCUUCACUGGUAGCCUGGUAACGUAUACUCCCAGGUCUUUCUCUGCCUCUGUGGUGGAUAGUGGAGUGUUUCCCAUGUGGUAUUGGUGUGCUGGAUAUCCCUUCACUGGUAGCCUGGUAACAUACACUCCCAGGUCUUUCUCUGCCUCUGUGGUGGAUAGUGGAGUGUUUCCCAUGUGGUAUUGGUGUGCUGGAUAUCCCUUCACUGGUAGCCUGGUAACAUACACUCCCAGGUCUUUCUCUGCCUCUGUGGUGGAUAGUGGAGUGUUUCCCAUGUGGUAUUGGUGUGCUGGAUAUCCCUUCACUGGUAGCCUGGUAACAUACACUCCCAGGUCUUUCUCUGCCUCUGUGGUGGAUAGUGGAGUGUUUCCCAUGUGGUAUUGGUGUGCUGGAUAUCCCUUCACUGGUAGCCUGGUAACAGUUAAGGGUAUUUACCUUACAAUGAUACUCCAUUCAGUUACAUGAGUUAAUCUACCUUCUUUCGGCAUUGUUUUUUCUCACAGAAUGUUGUAGGAGGUGGUUGCAUAUAAAGGGUUCUUGAAAUUAGACCUCUUUCUGUUGCAUAGUUUUUUAUUGUUAACAGAUAAGUCAUUUUGUCAGUACAGCAAUACGGUCGUUCCUCAAAUAGUACGGUUUCCAAUACAGUCCCUCAAAUAGUACAGUUUCCAAUACAGUCGCCCCUCAAAUAGUACAGUUUCCAAUACAGUCGCCCCUCAAAUAGUACAGUUUCCAAUACAGUCGCCCCUCAAAUAGUACAGUUUCCAAUACAGUCGCCCCUCAAAUAGUACAG